rnacentral:rRNA from 1 species
UAGCAUGGAAUAAUAAAAUAGGACGCGCGUUCCCAUUUUGUUGGUUCUGAGAUCGCCGUAAUGAUUAAUAGGGAUAGUUGGGGGCAUUUGUAUUCCGUCGUCAGAGGUGAAAUUCUUGGAUUGCCGGAAGACAAACUACUGCGAAAGCAUUUGCCAAGGAUGUUUUCAUUGAUCAAGAACGAAGGAAGGGGGAUCGAAAACGAUUAGAUACCGUUGUAGUCUCUUCUGUAAACUAUGCCAAUUGGGGAUCGGUACAGGAUUUUUAAUGACUGUAUCGGCACCCGAAGAGAAAUCUUUAAAUGAGGUUCGGGGGGGGGUAUGGUCGCAAGGCUGAAACUUGAAGGAAUUGACGGAAGGGCACCACCAGGUGUGGAGCCUGCGGCUUAAUUUGACUCAACACGGGGAAACUCACCAGGUCCAGACACAAUAAGGAUUGACAGAUUGAUAGCUCUUUCUUGAUCUUGUGGUUGGUGGUGCAUGGCCGUUCUUAGUUGGUGGAGUGAUUUGUCUGGUUAAUUCCGAUAACGAACGAGACCUUAACCUGCUAAAUAGACCAGCCGGCUUUGGCUAGCUGUGUCUUCUUAGAGGGACUAUCAGCUUUAGCUGAUGGAAGUUUGAGGCAAUAACAGGUCUGUGAUGCCCCUAGAUGUUCUGGGCCGCACGCGCGCUACACUGACAGAGCCAGCGAGUUACCACCUUUGCCGGAAGGCAUGGGUAAUCUUGUGAAACUCUGUCGUGAUGGGGAUAGAGCAUUGCAAU